GGAAACUUUACAGCUGCAACACUGUUCAAUGAAAUCAAGCUUUAUUGACUACUAUAACAAACAAAACACUCAGAAUCAGGAUUUUCUCUUGGUGCCUUAUGGUCUUUUGGAUUACAAGGGGUCAAAAUAAAUAUUUAAGGAAACUUGACAAGAUCAUAAAAUUUUCAGCAAAAGGUGGAGGGAAAAAGGAUAAAAGAAGAAUGCGAAGAAGAAUGCAAAGAAGAUGAAGAAGCAACAGAGACUCGAUUCUAGAGAUGCUGUGAAAGUUUAUGUACAUAUUAUUCAAAAGGGGAG